UCACACUGCGCAUGCACUUAUCAAAGGGCGACCGAAACUCCACUGCCGCCAGACAAGAUGCGGAAGAAACACAGAUCAAAGGAUUUUUCAAGACAAUGCACGUAAUUGCAGUUCAUUAACUGAAAGGCACAUGCAAGAACCUUUGGAUUUUCUCCCUUCCAAUUCUAGCAGCAAUCUUCCAGCCUAUCGACAAGACUAAUGUGGACCACUUGGUCAAUCAUGAUGCCUUCGAGAGACAACAACAAGUACACAGCUCAAUUUAAACAGGAGAAAGAAUUGGCAGAAUAGGUUAAAGAGCAUCAGCAAGAUGGUCAUAUUAUCACCUGCAGAGUAAUACAACUCUACAUCCUCAGAGAAGUGAAGAAAGAUGGCAUUUCAGAAUUCAAGGCCAGUUCCAGGUGGUGCACAAGAUUUAUGAAAAGGCACACUUAGUGUUCCAUCAAAAAACAAACAUUUCAGAGCAUCAGCCAACUGAAUUAGCCAUCGGAAGGUGUGGAAUCCAUAUGGGUGGAGGAAAGACUGGAUGGAUGAGGGCGAUUGCGAGAAAUGGAUCAAAGCGUGGAAUUCGAGACACAAAGAGAAAGAUUUGUUCAUCUAAGAUAUGUUCAAUUCCUACUUUGUCCAUGAUGCAGUCCAUGGUGAGAUCAGCCAACACUGGUAAGUCUUCCAAAUGUUGUUCAGCCUUUGGAUGUGCAUAUAAAUAAACCUCUCAAGGACAGCGUCCAAAAGAUGUGGAAUAAUCAUACGUUGGAAGGCGAAAAAUAUUCACUAAAGGUGGAAAUAUGCAAACACCCUCACUAUCAACAUUGUGUUAAUGGGUCAUAGGCUUGAUUCCAAUAUUGUCAAAAAGUUGUUUCUAAAAUGUGGAAUAUCAAAUGCGCUCAACGGUUACCAGGAUGAUUACUUGUGGAAUAAUGAUGUUGAAGUUACAAGUACUACCAUUGAAGACACAAGAUCCAUAUGUAGACGUUAUACAACUAGGCAAUUGGGUUGAAUUGUUCAGUGAUUCAGAUGAUGAUUUUGAAAGAUUUUUCUUGUGAAGUGCUGUAUUUAAUUUGAUUAUGGUAUAUACACAUUUCAUACAUUAUGAUAUAAAUAUAGUUUGUAAUGUUACAAAAUAAAUAAAUGUUAGAGAAUUAAUAUGAA